AUUCUCUGUUUUCUCUUCAGCUCAUAUACAUCUUUCACUUUUUACUAAAGAUUUCCAUGGAGAGAGAUGUUUAUGUGUUUAUAACUAAUUUUUUUUAACAGUUUAUUUAUA
rnacentral:snRNA from 1 species